rfam:Paprika mild mottle virus complete genome, strain:Japanese.
AGUGUUUAUCCCUCCACUUAAAUCGAAGGGC